UCCCGGUGUGUCUCAUGUCACUUGUCUUUUGUGUAUUGUGUGUUGUCUGGAUAUCUCAUGUCUCUUAUCUUAGCCCUGUGAGGGGCCUCUCAGAAACCUUUCCUAGUAUCCGUGAUCUCAGUGUUCCUCGCCCUGGCACCCAUGCCAUAGAACUUUUGACUGGGGAGCUCACACAGGCAUCAGAAAUACAUCUCUCUUUAGAAGCAUCCAGUCAGAUGUCUUGUCAGGUCUUGUUCUGAGCUGUAUGGACAGCCAUGCUGUGCAAUGAUCCAUUAUAGCAGACUGGGACUUGUAAGGAUGUGAGGUUAGGGAGAGGAUUCUGACUGUAGGAUUCUCGAGCAUCCAGGUUUGCAGUUUUUGGAAUAAAUCAUUCCGUUUGCAUCUUCUUCCUCCAGGGUUCUCUGAGCCUCAUCAGCUCGCCAUCAUCUUCAACUCUUCUUCUUUUGCCUUCUCUCAGUCCUUGCAGCCAUUUUCCUUGCCAAGAGAUUUCUGUUCCUGUUGUGUCCCCAGUGUUUGUCAUGUCUUGUGUGUCCUGUGUCACGGGUGUCUGCACGCAUUUGGGACGGGGCUGCUCUGCCCUGCUGCACAGCCUGGUGCAAUAGGAGAAGUCCCAGGGACUUGGAAUGUGUAAUGUGGGGUGUAGUUGGACUCCAGAUGGAAUUUGUAGAUGGACACAGGAUAUCUGGAGCUCUUAAAUUAUCCUGCCACAUUUUGACUCUUGUCCUAACUUUUUUUUUCAGAUUGAGAUGGAUUAAAUCUGUGCCAGAGGGCCCCAUCCCGGGUGAGGGGGUUGCCCCGAGCAGGAAGUAACUCUGGAUACCAGCAGCCUAGAGGGAUCUUCCCAGUGUCAAGGAUGAUGUUUGAGAUUGAGGCUUCAGGUGCCACCCCUAAUGAAGGCCACAGCCUUGGAAUCAGGAUGAAGCUGGAGCCUGAAGGAGCCAG